UUUGGCGGAGAAAAAGAAAACUCCACUGACCUUGCAAGAGAACUCUCCUGCAGUGGAGUUGUUGUGAGCAACCGCGGGGAUAUAAAAGAAUGCCGACAGCAGACAAAGGGGGGAAAAAAAGAAAAAUCCUGCGCAUAAAAGCGGGACUGAUAAGCUGUGCAGGUUGGCGAUAAGAAACAAAGGCGGUACGUGCCGAAACGCGCCGUGACCGGAGCGAUAAAGGCCGUCGAUAACAGACGCAGGGCUGAAGGUGGCGAAACACAAGCAUCUGCAACAGCGCGAUGGGAAGAAAGAAGCCAUGGAGAACGCCACAAGAUGCAGGGUGAAGAUGGAGGGCUCCAUGCGUCUCUUCUACAGUCGCACCUCGGGCCACGUACGCCGACUCCGCUAUGCUGUUGAACAUGGGGGCAUGGAAAUGGCACGUUCGUUCCUCGUCCCGCACUCUUACGCAAUAAAAUAAGAGAAAACAUCACAAACCAGAAGUUUUAUUCCCAUCAAACAAAAAGAAACUGAUGACCGCUGCUGACUUAACAAAAAAUAUAUCCAGGUGAUUGUUCAUUAUGAAUUUGUCCUGCUCUGUUUUGGUUUUGAACAAGCUUAUAAAAACUCUGGAGAUGACGAUGCAGAGAAUUAUUCUUCACAAAAACAAGAAAAUUACAGACAGCCAUUAGUAUCUUUUUCAUGACACUGCUAUGCAACAACAGAGUAUCUUCAGUCAGAGGCUUCUUCGGUACCAUUGUAAAACAGACUGCUCCAGGAGAUUCUUCCUGCCCACAGCCAUCAAGGUCUACAAUGACUCUUUGAAGAACCUUUGAUAAUAUCAGUUGCAUGUAAUUUCCCUUUUGGUUUAAUAAAGUAUUUUUGAACU